rnacentral:rRNA from 1 species
UGAGGAAUAUUGGUCAAUGGACGCAAGUCUGAACCAGCCAUGCCGCGUGCAGGAUGACGGCCCUAUGGGUUGUAAACUGCUUUUAUUAAGGAAUAAACCCCCGAACGUGUUCGGGGCUGAACGUACUUAAAGAAUAAGCAUCGGCUAACUCCGUGCCAGCAGCCGCGGUAAUACGGAGGAUGCAAGCGUUAUCCGGAUUCAUUGGGUUUAAAGGGUUCGCAGGCGGCGUAUUAAGUCAGUGGUGAAAUCCCUCGGCUCAACCGAGGAACUGCCAUUGAUACUGGUAUGCUAGAGUAUAGUUGGCGUAGGCGGAAUGUAUCAUGUAGCGGUGAAAUGCUUAGAUAUGAUACAGAACACCGAUCGCGAAGGCAGCUUACGAAACUAUAACUGACGCUCAGGAACGAAAGCGUGGGGAGCGAACA